GAGUAUAUUUGGUUUCCUAUGUUUGAGUCUGUUUGUGCUUCAACCACAUUGAGAAGAAGAGAAUGUUAUGUAGCAGACUCAUGAAAGUGGUGGAAAGCAAAUGUUUUGUUUAAAAAAAAGUUAGGUGUUAUGGUUAGUUGAGAGCUAGUCAUAGAAUUAUGUAUAAAGCCGCCACUAUAUCUCUACUGAAGAUUAUACAAGAUUAGCCCAAUGGUUAGUUGGUCCUUCUUGACCAUAGAACUUCCCCCUGUCUUGGUGAAUCAACACUUUCAUGAAAAACCAGUAGAAGAGUGACAGAAACUGUUCCUCAGUCUUAAAAAUUCAGUAGCGUGAGGAAGAGGCCAGUGUGAUAGAAGGUAGAAGAAGUCUUUAUCAACUGCAGAACCUUCACAAAAUCAUGGAUGGAGAAAGAAAUUUCUUAGCAACGAGCACCACACAAUCAAGAUUCUGCUCAGAGCUAUCUACAUUCCAAAAUGUCGAAAUGAAUCACUAUCACAGAUAAUUAAUUCCAGAACAUCAACUCUGACUUUAUCUUCAAACGGGAACAAAACCUGCAAUAACCAUCAGACUAUAAACCACGAAGAAUAAGGAUAAACAAAAGAGAUGAAUAAAACAUAUUAAACGAUUUAGAAAAUCAAAUCGAAGGAUGAACAGAUUGAUUGAAGGAAAAGCUCAAAACGAAGAACAAAGAUCGUUUUAAGGAGUUAGAUGUUUUUAGUUAGUAAAGUCCCACAUCGGAGGAACCAAACUUUUGCUUGUUGUAUAUAUACGUUUAGCACACUCUUUCUGUACGUCGAGCUUGGUAACGCGGGCUUGUAAUCCAAGUGGAGACUACGAGUUGGUGGGACAUUGGGCCGAUCUCUUUGGGCCGGGUUCGGAUGUGGGCUAUCUUCUGGCCUGUCCAUUCCAAGUCGGGAGUUGAGUGGUUGGACUCGAGCGAAGGCUUGUGGUUCGGACACUCUUAGAACGGAGGAGACUGCGCGUGAGACUGGUUUCACAGAGCAGCGUCCACCUCCCGCUCUUGACGGUGGAAGGAUAACGGGCCGUGGCCUUCUGAGCCCAUUAUGACCCAAUAAGCCGGCUCUCAAUUGGACCACAACUUUUUUUUUGAAGAUUUUCUUCUAUUAAAAGCAUGAGAAAAAAGAAAACAAGCCAAAGAACUUAGUGUUUGGACCUCGCCCUAUUACAAAAAAUGGCCGAAACUCACAUCAGAGAAAGAAACUAGUGGAAAAAAUCUAGCCCAUUUGGUUUUCUGAUUCGAGAGAUAGCAGAGGCGAUUAGUGCGGAAAUUGCAAGAGCAAAGGAAGAUGUAAAGGCGGAGGUGAUGAUGGAGUAGUUGCAAACCAGAGUUGAAGCAUUCGAGAGGCUCCGAUCGGGCUUGAUUCUCAGAAGCUCUGGAACUUGUUUCUAAUGGUUAUGUCGAGAAUAGAGGAGAUGGUAGCGACGGUCUUUUGAGUAUUGCGGUGGAGUCGAGCAUUCCUUUCUUGCCAGAUGGAGUAGAUGACGGCUUGCCAUACAAUGAGUUGGAGUUUCCUGCGCCACGGUAGACCUGACAGUGAUUGCAUGCAGUUGAGAGAGUCGCUCCAGGUAGUCAGGGGGCCGAUGUUGAUCCGGCGAGAGUGAUGGGUCCAUAGCUCAGAGGAGAAGGAGCAAGCAAAAAACAAGUGAUCCCUUGAUUCCACUCCUUGAUUGCAUAGAAGACAAGUUGCAGGAACGGUGAGCCCCGACGAGAGAAGCCUGUCACGAGUCGGGAGUCUAUUUAGGGUGACGAGCCAGGCGUGGAAGCUAUGCCGUGGCACACCACCAGAGUUCCAAAUAGCUUCUUUCCAAGGUAGUUGGGAUAGAGUAAUUGAUGAUAGAAACACUUGGAUUUGCACUUGGCAAUCAGAGCGGACCGCUCUAAUAUCCAGUGAUCACCGACGAACAAAUCCUGAAGUGUUGCUAACCGAGAGAUUCCCAUUGAGUUUGCUGCGACAGGUGCCAGGUACUUCUGAACACUUUCCACCGGCGACCAAUUAUCCGUCCAAAAUCUUACCUCACUUCCAUUUCCCACCCUGACAGUGAUCCAAUCAUAUGCAGUGCGCCCAAGUUUCAGCAGUUUAUUAGUAAAUCAAGAGUAUUUUUGCUUCUCCUUAGUUGUCCAGAAAUUGCUGAGGGAUCCUUUGAGAAAUUCCGUCUGAUAAUACUUUUCUCCACCAUUUUCUUUUCUGUAGUCUGAUAAUGAUCUCAUGUAAUGACAAUGGAUCAACAAAAGUCAAACCAACGUUAAAUUU